UUGGAGUUGAACCAUAAAAGUCGGGUGGACCAUAAAGCAUAAGGGGACCAGGAAGCCCAGCCAAUGGAAACACUCCAAAGCUGAAAAUCCUCUGUGGAGCAAGCUCAGGCAUUUGAUUGGCCAAUAGAAGGUCUACUGGUGCCAAACAUCU